AUUGAACGCUGGCGGCAUGCCUUACACAUGCAAGUCGAACGGCAGCACGGGUGCUUGCACCUGGUGGCGAGUGGCGAACGGGUGAGUAAUAUAUCGGAACGUGCCCAGAGGUGGGGGAUAGCCCGGCGAAAGCCGGAUUAAUACCGCAUACGACCUACGGGUGAAAGCGGGGGAUCGCAAGACCUCGCGCCAUUGGAGCGGCCGAUAUCAGAUUAGGUAGUUGGUGGGGUAAAGGCCUACCAAGCCAACGAUCUGUAGCUGGUCUGAGAGGACGACCAGCCACACUGGGACUGAGACACGGCCCAGACUCCUACGGGUGGCAG
rnacentral:rRNA from 1 species